GACAGAGGGUGCAAACGUUGUUCGGAAUUACUGGGCGUAAAGCGCGUGUAGGCUGCUCUGCAAGUCGGAUGUGAAAGCCCUGGGCUCAACCUAGGAAGUGCAUUCGAAACUGCGGGGCUUGAGUCCUGGAGAGGAUCGCGGAAUUCUCGGUGUAGAGGUGAAAUUCGUAGAUAUCGAGAGGAACACCGGUGGCGAAGGCGGCGAUCUGGACAGUGACUGACGCUGAGACGCGAAAGCGUGGGGAG
rnacentral:rRNA from 1 species